GAAACCAACAGGGAUUCCCUAGUAACGGCGAGUGAAGCGGGAACAGCUCAAAUUUGAAAUCUGGCCCUUGGGUCCGAGUUGUAAUUUGCAGAGGAUGCUUUUGGUGCGGUGCCUUCCGAGUUCCCUGGAACGGGACGCCUUAGAGGGUGAGAGCCCCGUACGGUUGGACACCAAGCCUAUGUAAAGCUCCUUCGACGAGUCGAGUAGUUUGGGAAUGCUGCUCAAAAUGGGAGGUAUAUUUCUUCUAAAGCUAAAUAUUGGCCAGAGACCGAUAGCGCACAAGUAGAGUGAUCGAAAGAUGAAAAGCACUUUGAAAAGAGGGUUAAAUAGCACGUGAAAUUGUUGAAAGGGAAGGAUUUAUGACCAGACUUUUUCUAGGGGGAUCAUCCGGUGUUCUCACCGGUGCACUUCCCCUAGUUGAGGCCAGCAUCGGUUUCUGUCGGGGGAUAAAAGCUUUAGGAAUGUGGCUCCCUCCGGGGAGUGUUAUAGCCUGUUGCAUAAUACCCUGACGGGGACCGAGGUUCGCGCAUUGCAAGGAUGCUGGCGUAAUGGUUAUUAAUCACCCGUCUUGAAACACGGACCAAGGAGUCGAACAUUUGUGCGAGUGUUUGGGUGUUAAACCCUCACGCGUAAUGAAAGUGAACGGAGGUGAGAGCCUUUCGGGGUGCAUCAUCGACCGAUCCUGAUGUCUUCGGAUGGAUUUGAGUAAGAGCAUUAAUGUUCGGACCCGAAAGAUGGUGAACUAUGCGUGGAUAGGGUGAAGCCAGAGGAAACUCUGGUGGAGGCUCGCAGCGGUUCUGACGUGCAAAUCGAUCGUCAAAUCUGCGCAUGGGGGCGAAAGACUAAUCGAACCAUCUAGU
rnacentral:rRNA from 2 species